ACCAGGCUCGUACCUGCCAAGCCGUCAGGGUCGGGAGGAGAGUGGGGAUGCCCACGAAGGUGGAGGGCGCCGGGAGGUAUGUUCCUCCUCCAUCAUUCCGGCCUCGCCCCUCCUCCCGCCUCUCCGCCUCUCCUCUGCUGGCCCUGGGCUCCUCUGGAGGAGAACCUCGUGGGGCCUCAAGCCCUGAGAUCCUUCACCCUGGGACGGAGAUGAAAAGGAACUGAGGAAUGUAAACAUCCUCUCCUCUUCCUGGAAGACGGCCGGGCCGCUUUGUUGAUAGCUCAGAGUUAAACAGUGUAAGCAUCAAUGGGCACUCCCGCUCCACUGCUCCGGUGGCGCCACGGCAGCAGGAACAAGCCCGGGAGGCGUGAGCUGCAGAUGCCCCCUCUGCAGGCCCACCUGCCCGCCCCGUGAGGCCAGCCCAGCUGUCCUGCAGAGUGACGAUAGAACGUGAACUAAACGGGGUGAGUGGCCUCAUUUUGGUUGCACGAUUCCUUUAUUCCCCAAUGUUCUUUGCAAUUUCCAAUCCAGGGUGAUUCUUUGUAUUCUGGAAGGAAAGCUAUGAUAAGUGCAGUGGAUUUUUCUUUUUAGUAUAAAAAUUUCCAAUGCCCUUUCUAUUAAUUGAGAAAAGAAAGGUCAAGUUACAUCAGGAACUCAACACUGGCACAUCUGGCGAUGGAGAGGGGAGGGGAGCAGAGCCGGGAGCAGAGCCGGCUGCAGCUCGCAGGAGCCAGACCCUGCAGGACCCAGACCCCCAGGCUGAGGUGUGUCUCAGAGCAGGCCCCUGAGUUUCCAGAGAGCUGGGCUGGGGCAGGAGGGCGAGGUGUGGGGCUGGGAGGUGGGGGUCAUGGUGAACAGCAGUUUUUCCGCUGAGGAAGGUGGAGGGGUGCCUGCCUGUCCCCUGGUCAGAGGCCUGUGAGUGCGAGGUGUGGGGGACAGCCAGUGGUCAGCUGGGCAGGAGGACUGACCCAGCCUGAGGCUCUGCUGCAGGGCCACCUUCUCCUGCUCCUCGUGUGUGAGGACACAUUCACUUUGUCCUGUCAACCAGAAGAGUGUGUCAGUCCUCUGACUCCUUACCCUUGACACAUGUCACCUAUCUCUGGAAAAAGGUCGGAGCUUGUCACACACAAGACAGAAUCGAAGUUCGCUCCUCUCCAGCUUCUCCCACCUGGAGGGUUGCCACUCAGAAGGGGAAAGAGACCCACCGUUGUCCCCAACGUCUCCUGCAGUGACAGCUCUGAAUCUCAGUUUGUAAACAGCACCUACGUGUUAAGGAGUGGGUUUGAGUUUUCUUUUUUGUUAAUAUCUAGGAACUUUUUCAAGCACGUCCCUUGGGUCCGUUCACUGUGACCCUGAGUGUGAUGCUCCCACCUCCUGGCUCUGCUGUGCAGAUUCCUGGUCCAGGCAGGGUGAGGCCUGUGGUUCCUCCUUGGGCUCUGUCUGUGUUGCUGGAGUGUGGCACUGAGGCGCGUGGCACCAAAGUGCGUGGUACAGAGGUGCGUGGCACAGAGACAUGUGGCACAGAGGCGCAUGGCACAGAGGUAGGUGACACAGAGGCGUGUGGCACGGAGGUACGUGGCACGGAGGCGUGUGGCACAGAGACAUGUGGCACAGAGGCGCAUGGCACAGAGGUAGGUGACACAGAGGCGUGUGGCACGGAGGUACGUGGCACAGAGGCGUGUGGCACAGAGACGUGUGGCACAGAGGCGCGUGGCACAGAGGCGCGUGGCACAGAGGCGAGGCCUGGGAAGGCCAAGGAGAAAGUGCUCUUCCUCAGUGCUCCCCAGCAGAGCUCCUGCUGCAGUGCCUUUCCUAGGGUAGAAGCUCCAGGCUCGACAAGGAAGCACCGGGGACAGUGCUUACCACAGCGUCCUCCUGCUCGGCCUCCCUCCCUCCCCAGCCUUUUCUCACAGUGUGAAGGCUGCGUUUUGAAUCCUAUUUCCAUCUUUGAGUCUGCGACCUAAGUAAGGCCAGUCCUGGAGGCCCUGUCCCUCCCUCCCCCACUGCCCCAAACCCCUACAGGGGGGCUCAGGGCACCAGAGUGGCCGCAGGGAACAGGAGGCCUGCGCUCGAGGGCCCUGGGAGGGCUGUGCCGACUGGGAAGAGGGGCUCUGUGAAUUGCUGGAGGGUGACAAUGCGUUCCAGACUGCGCAGGCCCAUGUGCGCCCAGGGAGGGGCGGGCCUUGGCAGAGCGGGUGUCCCUGCCUGGCUGGGACGGCGCACACUGGGCGCAGCUUCCUCUCCUGGUACAGGGCUGCAUGUGCACCUUCUCGGACGGGUGAGGGGUGAGCUUGAGCUGUCACCUACGGCCACACACCUGCUGCUCCCCACAGAGGGCCAAGCAGGCGUUGCCUGAGGCUCCUCCUCACAAGCUUAGGGCUUCCUUCUGCAGCUCUUUGGUAAGAAAUCAAGACCCUGGAGGGAAGGUGGGGCGGCCGCUCCGGCCUGAGCAGCUUGUCAACGAGGACCCAGGCUUCCAGGUCCACCUGGGCUCCCCUGAGACGCCAUUUCAGCUUGCCUCGGCCCAGGGCUUUGGGGUGGCCGGCAGGAGGACUGGACACUGCUGGCCCCUGAAGCAGGCUCGGCUGGCAGAAGGCAACAGACUGGGGCACAGGGGUGGACUCAGGGCAGGAGCAGAGCAGAGCUGGAGGGAGGGAGGGUGCUGCCCGGGGCCCUCAAUCCCAUCCCCUGAGGCCACCAGGCUUGCUAGGCACCGGCUCCGAGGUAAGUCCAGCUGAAUCUGGGGCCCAGUGGCACCCUGAGCUCACCCAGAUGUCCGACCUUCUGACAGCUGUGGUCUCAGAGGCUCCCCACCCUCAGGGCAGCAUUGGCCCUCAGGAGACCAAGCGGGAGGACUGCUCGCAGGGCCUCAGGGUGGGGAGACCCCUGACAUGGCAGACUCCUGAGUCCUCCGCCAACCUCACAGAGCCUGUUUCCCUGCCUCAGUCUGUAGAGGGGGUGCGUGGCCCCCGCAGAGCAGGUGGUCACAGAGACGCAGCAGAGCGCGGUGGGCAGCAGCCCUGGGCCGGACGUCUCCCCUGCCACUGGGAACUGAGACCUUUCCUGUCACCGUGGCUGAGCCCUCACAGGGGCUAGGGACCACCAAGGGCUGCUCACCCAGGAUGGUGGAGGGGACAGAGGGCUGUGGAGCUUCCCAGCCAGGCCCUGACCGAAGCUGGGACUCCAGGGGGCACCAGGGGCAGCUAGGAGCUCAGGCAUGGAGGGUCCUAGGAGCGUCUGGGGACAUAGGCGCAGGAGGAUCACAGGGGAGUGAGCAUGGGCAGGGAGUCCCGCCCAGGGGUGGGGAACGCGCUCCCUGGCAGCAGACCUUCUGUGAGUUGGCAUUGAGGUCCCUCUGGGUGGCACACUCACCCUGGGGGACAGCCUGUGAGCUGGGCCACCUGGGGGAGUUGACACAGACCCCUUCUUCAAUGCUCCCUACGCACGGAGAGGGACGCAGCGUCACUGGACACCACCCGUGUGAACCCUCCCUGCCCAGGCUGCCCAGGCUGCUGCUCGUGUGGGGUGACCAGCAGGCGCCCAGAGCGGAGCCUGUGCUCCGUCGAGGCGGUUCUCCGGCUCCACUGGGGUCGCACUCCACAUGGCCAUUCUAGAACCUGAGUCUCCAGAUUCCCGAGGUCACUGUGCCUCCAGGGUCUCGGGUUAGGUGGCCUCUGAGCCCUCCACACAGCUGUUCCAGCCUCGUUCACUCAGAGGCAGAUGUCCGCCUUUCUUCUGGCUCUGUGGUCCAGGCAACUGAGACACGAGGAGGUGUCAGGAUGGCCUGAACGAGAGCCUUAGCCUGAGAAACUUCAUCUGAAACGAGACUGCAGUCCCCAGCAGGCACACCUACGGAGCCUCCAUAUGGUCAUCAGGCACAGCCUGACAAAGAAGUCACUUCUCACAACCCUGACAGACUCAGAGCGAAGUCUCUGCUCGUGCCCUCGCCCUGGUAAAGGCCAGAGGCGAGAAAACCAGGUGGGACCACCAGACCAGAUGCCUUGACCUCAGGACACAGGACGUCACUGAGAAACCGGUAGCAGCUGAGAGGGAGUGAAAGGGUGGUCAGAAGCCCCAAAGGGUAGUGUAAACAGUGCAGCAAAUGGACACUCAGCCGGUGACACCGAUGCACACACCGGAGAGCCUGGUGAGGAGCCAGACUGACACCCCGAGUCUUCUCGCUGUCUGCCUGACCCUCUGCAUCGUCCUCACACUCUCAAACUCGACAGCCACAUCUGGACCUGGAGAGAAUGGCCACGUCUCCUUUUGACCCUCUCCUCAAGUGGCCGUCAGCUCCGCCCAGGAGAAGCCUGCCUUGGUUCCUGACCUGAUCACCGAGCCCUGAGUGAGUGGGCAUCUGCCGGACUUAGACCUGCCCUUGGGCUAAGCAUCACAGAGGACAAGUCUGUCGUGGGCCUGUCAUGAUCAGGUGUGUUCCCAGUGCUUAGAGCUAACCUCGAAUCGUUGGCUGUGGGUUGAUCUUGUCUAUUGCAGUGCCCGGCACUGAGGCCUGACUUUCCUUGAUUAGGAACCUAGAGUGGAAUUGUGCUGAGUGAUCUGAGUAAAUAAAGCAUUGACAAGGGCA